rnacentral:rRNA from 1 species
UAUAGCGAAAGCUAAUUGUAUUAGCCAUUUGGUUGAUACAAUAUCGACUAUGUCGACUAAAGUUCUAGGUAGAGUUAUGAUAAUGACAUUUUCUACCUAUAUGUCUUGACCAAGUCACGUGCCAGCAGUCGCGGUAAUACGUGGAAGACUAGUGUUAUUCAUCUUUAAUAGGUUUAAAGGGUACCUAGACGGUAUAUCUAGCCCAAAAAGGGUACUGAUAANCUAGAGUUUAAUGUGAGGGGGGAUUAGUACUAAUGGAGUAGAGAUGAAAUUCUGUCAUACCAUAAGGAGACAGGUAACGGCGAAAGCAACCCUUUAUGCAAUAACUGACGUUGAAGGACGAAGGCUUGGGUCACAAACAGGAUUAGAUACCCCAGUAGUCUUAGCAGACAACGCUGAAUGCCAUAGAUUAGAUUAGAUUUCUUCUAUAAAUGAAAGUGUAAGCAUUCCACCUCAAGAGUAAUUUGGCAACAUAGAAACUGAAAUCAUUAGACCGUUUCUGAAACCAGUAGUGGAGUAUGUUGUUCAAUUAGAUGUUCCGCAAAAAACCUUACCACAAUUUGAAUAUUUUUAUUUUUAUAAUUUUACAAGCGCUGCACGGCUGUCUUCAGUUAAUGUCGUGAGAUUUUGGUUAGUUCCAUUUAAUUAACGUAAACCCUUACUUUAUUUUUUUAUAAAGUAGUUCACCGCUAUAUUGGAUAUGAUAGAAGGGACUA